rnacentral:rRNA from 1 species
AUUGAACGCUGGCGGCAGGCCUAACACAUGCAAGUCGGACGGUAGCACAGAGGAGCUUGCUCCUCGGGUGACGAGUGGCGGACGGGUGAGUAAUGUCUGGGGAUCUGCCCGAUAGAGGGGGAUAACCACUGGAAACGGUGGCUAAUACCGCAUAACGUCGCAAGACCAAAGAGGGGGACCUUCGGGCCUCUCACUAUCGGAUGAACCCAGAUGGGAUUAGCUAGUAGGCGGGGUAACGGCCCACCUAGGCGACGAUCCCUAGCUGGGCUGAGAGGAUUACCAGCCACACUGGAACUGAGACACGGUCCAGACUCCUACGGGAGGCAGCAGUGGGGAAUAUUGCACAAUGGGCGCAAGCCUGAUGCAGCCAUGCCGCGUGUAUGAAGAAGGCCUUCGGGUUGUAAAGUACUUUCAGCGGGGAGGAAGGCGAUGUGGUUAAUAACCGCGUCGAUUGACGUUACCCGCAGAAGAAGCACCGGCUAACUCCGUGCCAGCCGCCGCAGUAA